UACGGAGGGUGCAAGCAUUAAUCGGAUUUAUUGGGCGUAAAGGGCGCGUAGGUGGGAAAGAAAGUUAGAUGUGAAAUCCCGGAGCUCAACUCCGGAACUGCAUCUAAAACUCCUUUUCUUGAGGGUAGGCGGAGAAAAUAGAAUUCCACAAGUAGCGGUGAAAUGCGUAGAUAUGUGGAAGAAUACCGGUGGCGAAGGCGAUUUUCUAGCUUAUUCCUGACACUGAGGCGCGAAAGCAAGGGGAUCAAACAGG
rnacentral:rRNA from 1 species